GAUGAAGAACGUAGCGAAAUGCAAUAAGUAAUGUGAAUUGCAGAAUUCAGUGAAUCAUCGAAUCUUUGAACGCACAUUGCGCCCGUCAGUAUUCUGGCGGGCAUGCCUGUUCGAGCGUCAUUACGCCCCUCAAGUCCCCUGUGGACUUGGUGUUGGGGAUCGGCGAGGCUGGUUUUCCAGCACAGCCGUCCCUUAAAUUAAUUGGCGGUCUCGCCGUGGCCCUCCUCUGCGCAGUAGUAAAACACUCGCAACAGGAGCCCGGCGCGGUCCACUGCCGUAAAACCCCCCAACUUUUUAUAGUUGACCUCGAAUCAGGUAGGACUACCCACUGAACUUAAGCAUAUCAAUAAGCGGAGGA
rnacentral:misc_RNA from 1 species